CCUACGAGCGGCAGCAGUGAGGAAUAUUGGUCAAUGGUCGGGAGCCUGAACCAGCCAAGUAGCGUGAGGGAUGAAGGUCCAGCGUAUUGUAAACCUCUUUUGUCAGGGAAUAAAGUCGGGCACGUGUCCCCUGUUGCGUGUACUUUAUGAAUAAGCAUCGGCUAACUCCGUGCCAGCAGCCGCGGUAAUCCGGAGGAUCCGAGCGUUAUCCGGAUUUAUUGGGUUUAAAGGGAGCUUAGAGGGGUUGGUAAGUCAGGGGUGAAAGUCUGCGGCUCAACCGUAAACUGGCGAUUGAUACUGGCAGUCUGGAGUAGAGUAGAGGUAGGCGGAAUGCGUGGUGUAGCGGUGAAAUGCAUAGAUAUCACGAAGAACUCCGAUUGCGAAGGCAGCAUACUAAAUCGCCACUGACACUGAGGCUCGAAAGUGUGGGUAUCAAACAGGAUUAGAUACCCGUGUAGUC
rnacentral:rRNA from 1 species